UUAAUUUGUUUCUGAAUAAUUUCUGAAAACAUUUUACCAUUUUUCUCAGCAAAAGCGAUGGCAUCUUCCUUUGAGGAGAACGACAGCACCAUGUUGGAAAGGGGAUCGGCUCUGAAACGCACAAUUUGCACAAGUCACAAAAAUGGAGGGGAUACUGUAUAUUUGCUGGGAUAACGUGGAUCCUGUGUUUGAUCAACCGGACAGCAGAGGGUUCCACCAACAACGUGGCAGAACCCGAGGAACGUCCGACCCGACAGGAGCCGGCGGCUCUGUGGGAAGCAAACUGGAAGCCCAGAGAAUCUGUGGCUAACCUCCCGGUCGGUCAGCUCAGCCUCAGAUGUCUUUUGUCUCCCCUGACUGCUCGCAGCUCAUUAGGGGGCAUGAAAGUGGUUGUGACAUUAACUGGCUGGAAGGGCUGUGGUCUUUGUUUGGCUUCAGUCCUUUAGUGGAGAAAGUGGUGAGGGGAAAAAAAGGAAGACAAUCCUCAACAAACAUCCAGGAUGAAGAAUGCUAGGAAAGUGUGGAAGCAGAUUGGUUCAAAGUGUUUGGAGUCUGUGCAAAAAAAAAA